GAUGAACGCUGGCGGCGUGCCUAAUACAUGCAAGUCGAGCGAACAGACGAGGAGCUUACUCCUCUGACGUUAGCGGCGGAUGGGUGAGUAACACGUGGAUAACCUACCUAUAAGACUGGGAUAACUUCGGGAAACAGGAGCUAAUACCGGAGAAUAUAUUGAACCGCAUGGUUCAAUAGUGAAAGACGGGUUUGCAAUCACUGAUAGAUUGAUCCGCGCCGCAUUAGGUAUUUGGUAAGGUAACGGCUUACCAAGGCAACGAUGCGUAGCCGACCUGAGAGGGUGAUCGGACACACUGGAACUGAGACACGGUCCAGACUCCUACGGGAGGCAGCAGUAGGGAAUCUUCCGCAAUGGGCGAAAGCCUGACGGAGCAACGCCGCGUGAGUGAUGAAGGUCUUCGGAUCGUAAAACUCUGUUAUUAGGGAAGAACAAAUGUGUAAGUAACUAUGCACGUCUUGACGGUACCUAAUCAGAAAGCCACGGCUAACUACGUG
rnacentral:rRNA from 1 species